UGAGUACGAGAUGCUACGGCAUCGAAGCAGUCUAUGUCAUACUUCCAAGAAAAGCUUGCAAUGUCAUAAACAAAUAAUGCCUGUACCAUAACCGACACAGGUGGGUAGGUAGAGUAUACUAAGGGGCGCGAGAUAACUCUCUCUAAGGAACUCGGCAAAAUGACUCCGUAACUUCGGGAGAAGGAGUGCCUUAUUUUUAUAAGGUUGCAAUAACAAGAUCCAAGCAACUGUUUACCAAAAACACAGGUCUCCGCUAAGUCGUAAGACGAUGUAUGGGGGCUGACGCCUGCCCAGUGCCAGAAGGUUAAAGAAGUUGGUUAGCAUUAGCGAAGCUGAUAGCUGAAGCCCUGGUGAACGGCGGCCGUAACAAUAACGGUCCUAAGGUAGCGAAAUUCCUUGUCGGGUAAGUUCCGACCCGCACGAAAGGCGUAAUGAUUUGGAUACUGUCUCGGAGAGGGGCUCGGUGAAAUAGACUUGUCUGUGAAGAUGCGGACUACCUGCACCUGGACAGAAAGACCCUAUGAAGCUUUACUGUAACUUGAGAUUGAAAUUGGACUUUAUCUGCGCAGUAUAGGUGGGAGACGUUGAAAAUAUUCUUGCGGGAAUAUUGGAGUCAUCAGUGAGAUACCACUCUUAUAAUGUUAGAUUUCUAACUUUGUAUCAUUAUCUGGUCAAAGAACAGUUUCAGGCGGGCAGUUUGACUGGGGCGGUCGCCUCCCAAACGGUAACGGAGGCGCACAAAGGUUUCCUCUGUACGUGUAGAAAUCGUAUCUAGAGUGUAAAGGCAUAAGGAAGCUUGACUGUGAGACCUACAAGUCGAGCAGGGACGAAAGUCGGUCUUAGUGAUCUGACGGUGCUGAGUGGAAAGGCCGUCACUCAACGGAUAAAAGUUACUCUAGGAUAACAGGCUGAUCUCCCCCAAGAGUUCACAUCGACGGGGAGGUUUGGCACCUCGAUGUCGGCUCAUCGCAUCCUGGGGCGGUAGUACGUCCCAAGGGUUGGGCUGUUCGCCCAUGAGAGCGGUACGCGAGCUGGGUUCAGAACGUCGUGAGACAGUUCGGUCCAUAUCCGGUGUAGGCGUUAGAAUAUUGAGAGGAGCCUUCUUUAGUACGAGAGGACCGAGAAGGACAUACCUCUGGUGUACCAGUUAUCGUGCCAACGGUAAACGCUGGGUAGCCAUGUAUGGAGAGGAUAACCGCUGAAAGCAUCUAAGUGGGAAGCCCACCUCAAGAUAAG
rnacentral:rRNA from 1 species